rnacentral:rRNA from 1 species
GACGAACGCUGGCGGCGUGCCUAAUACAUGCAAGUAGAACGCUGAAGGAGGAGCUUGCUUCUCUGGAUGAGUUGCGAACGGGUGAGUAACGCGUAGGUAACCUGCCUUGUAGCGGGGGAUAACUAUUGGAAACGAUAGCUAAUACCGCAUAAGAGUAGAUGUUGCAUGACAUUUACUUAAAAGUUGCAAUUGCAUCACUACCAGAUGGACCUGCGUUGUAUUAGCUAGUUGGUGAGGUAACGGCUCACCAAGGCAACGAUACAUAGCCGACCUGAGAGGGUGAUCGGCCAAACUGGGAAUGAGACACGGCCCAGAGUCCUAAGGGAGGCAGCAGUAGGGAAACUUCGGAAAUGGACGGAAGGCUGACCGAGCAACGCCGCGUGAGUGAAGAAGGGUUUCGGAUCGUAAAGCUCUGUUGUAAGAGAAGAACGAGUGUGAGAGUGGAAAGUUCACACUGUGACGGUAUCUUACCAGAAAGGGACGGCUAACUACGUG